AUUAUAUUGUGGUCAGAAAAAGUUGGCCUGGGCUGGAGAGAUUGCUCAGCCGUUAAAGGCUAGGCUCACAACCAAAAAUAUA
ensembl:miRNA predicted gene, 23193